CGGGUGAGUAACGCGUGAGGAACCUGCCUCAAAGAGGGGGACAACAGUUGGAAACGACUGCUAAUACCGCAUAAGCCCACGGCUCGGCAUCGAGCAGAGGGAGAAGGAGCAAUCCGCUUUGAGAUGGCCUCGCGUCCGAUUAGCUAGUUGGUGAGGUAACGGCCCACCAAGGCGACGAUCGGUAGCCGGACUGAGAGGUUGAACGGCCACAUUGGGACUGAGACACGGCCCAG
rnacentral:rRNA from 1 species